UACGUAGGGCGCGAGCGUUGUCCGGAAUUAUUGGGCGUAAAGAGCGUGUAGGCGGCCAGGUAGGUCUGCUGUGAAAACUCGAGGCUCAACCUCGAGACGUCGGCGGAAACCAUCUGGCUAGAGUCCGGAAGAGGAGAGUGGAAUUCCUGGUGUAGCGGUGAAAUGCGCAGAUAUCAGGAAGAACACCCGUGGCGAAGGCGGCUCUCUGGGACGGUACUGACGCUGAGACGCGAAAGCGUGGGGAGCGAACAGG
rnacentral:rRNA from 1 species